ACAGAAUGUUACCUUGAAAAUAGGAAGCUGCUGUUAGUGUGGGAAGAUAAAGAUGCCCACCAGGGAAUUGCUCUACCUAAAGACUGGGGAUCUAUAGGAAAGGGAGAAAGAAAGGCAGAAGGUCCAGCAAGAGAAGAAAAUGCUUUGUGUUGUAAGAUAUGACUUUCCAUCCUGGAAUCAUCCAGAUCUUCACUGAAGUCUGCAAUGCCCCGGAUUACUUCUGUAUGAGUAAAUUUCUCAUGGAAGUUAGUAAAAGGGGGGCCUUUUAGAAAAUCUCACGUCACUUCCUAGUUGGAGCAAUUAAACAAUAGAGAAGAUGGGUAUUCUGGAGCAGAAUUUAAUGAAACAGAACUCCACCAUCUAUGGCAAGUUUGACUGCUUGAGUCUCCAGAGGAUAAUAGUUGGAGGCCACUGAGGCCCAAAUUCAUCAGUCCGGCCAUUGAAGGUCACAAGUGAACAAAGGAGGAUGGCAAAGACAGAACUGUGAUAUUCAAACACUCAAUAGCUCACAGUGUGGGGGUUCAUUAUGACACUUACUAAGCACAAGCCAUAUUUCUGACACUGUGCUAAGAGUUUCAUGAACAUUAACUAAAUUAACCUCAUAAAAACGCCAUUAGAAAGAUGCAGUUUUGUACCCCCUUACACAGAUGAAGAAAAUAUAGAGACUUUAAGAAAUUUGCCAGAAGUCUUAUAACUGGUAAGUAAACUUUAGCUACUUGAUCAGACCUCAACCAGGUGAUCAGAACCC
rnacentral:lncRNA from 1 species